rnacentral:rRNA from 1 species
GAUUCCCCUAGUAACUGCGAGUGAAGCGGGAAAAGCUCAAAUUUAAAAUCUGGCGGUCUUUGGCCGUCCGAGUUGUAAUCUAGAGAAGUGUUACCNGUGCCGGACCGUGUACAAGUCUCCUGGAAUGGAGCGUCAUAGAGGGUGAGAAUCCCGUCUUUGACACGGACUACCGGUGCUUUUGUGGUGCGCUCUCAAAGAGUCGAGUUGUUUGGGAAUGCAGCUCAAAAUGGGUGGUAAAUUCCAUCUAAAGCUAAAUAUUGGCGAGAGACCGAUAGCGAACAAGUACCGUGAGGGAAAGAUGAAAAGAACUUUGGAAAGAGAGUUAAACAGUACGUGAAAUUGCUGAAAGGGAAACGCUUGAAGUCAGUCGCGUUGGCCGGAAAUCAACCUUGCUUCUGCUUGGUGUACUUUCUGGUUGACGGGCCAGCAUCAGUUUUGACCGGUGGAAAAAGUCCAAGGGAAUGUGGCAACUCCGGUUGUGUUAUAGCCCUUGGUCGUAUACAUCGGUUGGGACUGAGGAAUUCAGCACGCCGCAAGGCCGGGUCUUCGGACCGUACGUGCUUAGGAUGCUGGCAUAAUGGCUUUAAUCGACCCGUCUUGAAACACGGACCAAGGAGUCUAACAUGCCUGCGAGUGUUUGGGUGGAAAACCCGAGCGCGUAAUGAAAGUGAAAGUUGGGAUCUCUGUCGUGGAGAGCACCGACGCCCGGACCUGAUGUUUACUGACGGAUCUGCGGUAAAGCAUGUAUGUUGGGACCCGAAAGAUGGUGAACUAUGCCUGAAUAGGGUGAAGCCAGAGGAAACUCUGGUGGAGGCUCGUAGC